GUUUGAUCCUGGCUCAGAGCGAACGUUAGCGGCAGGCUUAAACACAUGCAAGUCGAGCGAGAAAAGGGGCUUCGGCUCCGAGUAAAAGCGGCGGACGGGUGCGUAACACGUGGAUAAUCUGCCUCGUGGCGGGGGACAACAGUCCGAAAGGACUGCUAAUACCGCAUGUCAGGUCGGAAACUCCGGUUUCUGACGAAAAAGAGGGCGCCCGCAAGGGGCUCUCACCACGAGAUGAGUCCGCGUCCCAUCAGCUAGUUGGCGGUGUAAUAGACCACCAAGGCUUAGACGGGUAGCUGGUCUGAGAGGAUGACCAGCCACACUGGGACUGAGACACGGCCCAGACUCCUACGGGAGGCAGCAGUGGGGAAUAUUGGACAAUGGGCGAAAGCCUGAUCCAGCCAUG
rnacentral:rRNA from 1 species